rnacentral:rRNA from 1 species
UGUGCCCUACGGGGCGCAGCAGUGAGGAAUAUUGGUCAAUGGGCGGAGCCUGAACCAGCCAAGUCGCGUGAGGGAAUAAGGCCCUACGGGUCGUAAACCUCUUUUGCCGGGGAGCAAGGGCGGGGACGUGUCCCGGCCCGGAGAGUACCCGGAGAAGAAGCAUCGGCUAACUCCGUGCCAGCAGCCGCGGUAAUACGGAGGAUGCGAGCGUUAUCCGGAUUUAUUGGGUUUAAAGGGUGCGUAGGCGGAUUGAUAAGUUAGAGGUGAAAUGUUCGGGCUCAACUCGGGAACUGC